CCUACGGGAGGCUGCAGUGGGGGAUAUUGGACAAUGGGGGGAACCCUGAUCCAGCGACGCCGCGUGAGUGAAGAAGUAUUUCGGUAUGUAAAGCUCUGUCAGCAGGGAAGAAAGAAAUGACGGUACCUGACCAAGAAGCCUCGGCUAACUACGUGCCAGCAGCCGCGGUAAUACGUAGGGGGCAAGCGUUAUCCGGAAUUACUGGGUGUAAAGGGAGCGUAGACGGUUAAGUAAGUCUGGAGUGAAAGGCCGGGGCCCAACCCCGGGACUGCUCUGGAAACGAGUGAACUGGAGUGCAGGGGAGGUAAGCGGAAUUCGUAGUGUAGCGGUGAAAUGCGUAGAUAUUAGGAGGAACACCAGUGGCGAAGGCGGCUUACUGGACUGUAACUGACGUUGAGGCUCGAAAGCGUGGGGAGCAAACAGGAUUAGAUACCCCGGUAGUC
rnacentral:rRNA from 1 species